AGAUUGAACGCUGGCGGCAGGCCUAACACAUGCAAGUCGAGCGGCAGCACGGGUACUUGUACCUGGUGGCGAGCGGCGGACGGGUGAGUAAUGCCUAGGAAUCUGCCUGAUAGUGGGGGGAUAACGUUCGGAAACGGACGCUAAUACCGCAUACGUCCUACGGGAGAAAGUGGGGGAUCUUCGGACCUCACGCUAUCAGAUGAGCCUAGGUCGGAUUAGCUAGUUGGUAGGGUAAAGGCCUACCAAGGCUACGAUCCGUAACUGGUCUGAGAGGAUGAUCAGUCACACUGGAACUGAGACACGGUCCAGACUCCGUACGGGAGCAGCGAGUGGGGAAUAUUGGACAAGUGGGACGAAAGCCUGAUCCAGCCAGUGCCGCGUGGUGUAGAAGGAAGGUCUUCGGAUUAGGUAAAGCUAACGUUUAAGUUAGGGAAGGAAGGUACAACGUUUAAACCGUAAUUACCGUUUAAGUU
rnacentral:rRNA from 1 species